rnacentral:tRNA from 1 species
AGGAGUUGUGCCUGAAUAAAGGACCACUUUGAUAGAGUGUAUCAUGGGGGUUAAAAUCCCCCCGACUCCUU